UACGAAGGGUGCCAGCGUUACUCGGAAUUACUGGGCGUAAAGCGUGCGUAGGUGGUUUGUUAAGUCUGUUGUGAAAGCCCCGGGCUCAACCUGGGAAUGGCAAUGGAUACUGGCAAGCUAGAGUGCGGUAGAGGGUAGUGGAAUUCCCGGUGUAGCGGUGAAAUGCGUAGAGAUCGGGAGGAACACCAGUGGCGAAGGCGGCUACCUGGACCAGCACUGACACUGAGGCACGAAAGCGUGGGGAGCAAACAGG
rnacentral:rRNA from 1 species